rnacentral:rRNA from 1 species
UCCUGGCUCAGGACGAACGCUGGCGGCGUGCUUAAUGCAUGCAAGUCGCACGGACUGCCUUCGGGUAGUCAGUGGCGCACGGCUGAGUAACACGUAGGAAUGUACCCGUUCGUGGGGGAUACCCCGGCGAAAGCCGAGCUAAUCCCGCAUACGCUCCCUCGGGAGGAAAGCGGUUCGCCGCGCGAACGGCGCAGCCUGCGGCCCAUCAGGUCGUUGGUAGGGUAAUGGCCUACCAAGCCCAUGACGGGUAGCUGGUCUGUGAGGACGACCAGCCAGACUGGGACUGAGAUACGGCCCAGACUCCUACGGGAGGCAGCAGCAAGGAAUUUUCGGCAAUGGGCGACAGCCUGACCGAGCAACGCCGCGUGCAGGAUGACGGCCUUCGGGUUGUAAACUGCUUUUGGGGGGGACGACCAUGACGGUACCCUCCGAAUAAGCCUCGGCUAACUCUGUGCCAGCAGCCGCGGUAAGACAGAGGAGGCAAGCGUUGUCCGGACUUACUGGGCGUAAAGCGUCCGCAGGUGGUGCGGCAAGUGGGGUGUGAAAGCUGGUGGCUUAACCGCCAGAGGCCAUUCCAAACUGCCACACUGGAGCCGGGCAGAGGGUGACGGAAUUGCCGGUGUAGUGGUGAAAUGCGUAGAGAUCGGCAGGAAGACCAAGGGGGAAGCCAGUCACCUGGGCCCGCGCUGACACUGAGGGACGAGAGCGUGGGGAGCGAACCGGAUUAGAUACCCGGGUAGUCCACGCCGUAAACGAUGUACGCUCGGCGUUUGGCGGCAGAACCCUGUCGCUGGGCGCCUCAGCUAACGCGCAAGCGUACCGCCUGGGAACUACGAGCGCAAGCUUAAAACUCAAAGGA